rnacentral:rRNA from 1 species
GAGAAACGGCUACCACAUCCAAGGAAGGCAGCAGGCGCGCAAAUUACCCACUCCCGGAACGGGGAGGUAGUGACGAAAAAUAACAAUACGGGACUCUUUUGAGACCCCGUAAUUGGAAUGAGUACACUCUAAAUCCUUUAACGAUUAUCAAUUGGAGGGCAAGCCAAGUGCCAGCAGCCGCGGUAACACUUGCUCCAAUAGCGUAUAUUAAAGUUGUUGCGGUUAAAAAGCUCGUAGUUGGAUCUCAGUUCUAGUCGGGCGGUCCGCCUAACGGCGGUAACUGCCCGUUCUGAACAGGCCAGCCGGUUUCCCUUGAUGAUCUUCACCGGUUGUCUCGGUUGACCGGCACGUUUACUUUGAAUAAAUUAGAGUGCUCAAAGCAGGCGUGACGCCUGAACAAUGGUGCAUGGAAUAAUGGAAUAGGACCUCGGUUCUAUUUUGUUGGUUUUCGGAACACGAGGUAAUGAUUAAGAGGGACAGACGGGGGCAUUCGUAUUGCGACGUUAGAGGUGAAAUUCUUGGACCGUCGCAAGACGAACUACUGCGAAAGCAUUUGCCAAGAAUGUUUCCAUUAAUCAAGAACGAAAGUUAGAGGUGCGAAGGCGAUCAGAUACCGCCCUAGUUCUAACCAUAAACGAUGACAGCCAGCGUUCCGGCUGUGUUCCUCAAAUGACACGCCGGGAAGCUUCCGGGAAACCAAAGCUUUUGGUUUCCGGGGGUAGUAUGGUUGCAAAGCUGAAACUUAAAGGAAUUGACGGAGGGUCACCACCAGAAAUGGAGCUUGCGGUUCAAUUUGACUCAACGCAGCGAACCCUACCAGGCCAGGACACAGGGAGGAUUGACAGAUUAAGAGCUCUUUCUUGAUUUUGUGGGUAGUGGUGCAUGGCCGC